rnacentral:rRNA from 1 species
CAGCCGCCGCGGGAAUACAGAGGGUGCGAGCGUUAAUCGGAUUUACUGGGCGUAAAGCGUGCGUAGGCGGCUUUUUAAGUCGGAUGUGAAAUCCCUGAGCUUAACUUAGGAAUUGCAUUCGAUACUGGGAAGCUAGAGUAUGGGAGAGGAUGGUAGAAUUCCAGGUGUAGCGGUGAAAUGCGUAGAGAUCUGGAGGAAUACCGAUGGCGAAGGCAGCCAUCUGGCCUAAUACUGACGCUGAGGUACGAGAGCAUGGGGAGCAAACAGGAUUAGAUACCCCAGUAGUCCCUGUCUCUUAUAC